UACGGAGGGGGCUAGCGUUGUUCGGAAUUACUGGGAGUAAAGCGCGCGUAGGCGGACCUGCAAGUCGGGGGUGAAAGCCCGGAGCUCAACCUCGGAACUGCCUUCGAUACUGCGGGGCUCGAGUCCGGGAGAGGUGAGUGGAAUUCCUAGUGUAGAGGUGAAAUUCGUAGAUAUUAGGAAGAACACCAGUGGCGAAGGCGGCUCACUGGCCCAGUACUGACGCUGAGGUGCGAAAGCGUGGGGAGCAAACAGG
rnacentral:rRNA from 1 species